AAAGGGAGGCGAAGCCGCGAGGCAGAGNGACCCCAAAAAGCCGUCCCAGUUCGGAUCGCAGGCUGCAACCCGCCUGCGUGAAGUCGGAAUCGCUAGUAAUCGCGGAUCAGCAUGCCGCGGUGAAUACGUUCCCGGGCCUUGUACACACCGCCCGUCACACCAUGAGAGUCGGGAACACCCGAAGCCCGUAGCCUAACAGCAAUGAGGGCGCGGUCGAAGGUGGGUUCGAUAAUUGGGGUGAAGUCGUAACAAGGUACC
rnacentral:rRNA from 1 species